rnacentral:rRNA from 1 species
CUACGGGGGGCUGCAGUGGGGAAUAUUGCACAAUGGAGGAAACUCUGAUGCAGCAACGCCGCGUGGAGGAUGACACUUUUCGGAGCGUAAACUCCUUUUAUAUAGGAAGAUAGUGACGGUACUAUAUGAAUAAGCACCGGCUAACUCCGUGCCAGCAGCCGCGGUAAUACGGAGGGUGCAAGCGUUACUCGGAAUCACUGGGCGUAAAGAGCGUGUAGGCGGGUUAAUAAGUCAGAAGUGAAAUCCUAUGGCUCAACCAUAGAACUGCUUUUGAAACUGUUAACCUAGAAUAUGGGAGAGGUAGAUGGAAUUUCUGGUGUAGGGGUAAAAUCCGUAGAGAUCAGAAGGAAUACCGAUUGCGAAGGCGAUCUACUGGAACAUUAUUGACGCUGAGACGCGAAAGCGUGGGGAGCAAACAGGAUUAGAUACCCUAGUAGUC